rnacentral:rRNA from 1 species
AACGAACGCUGGCGGCAUGCCUAACACAUGCAAGUCGAACGAGACCUUCGGGUCUAGUGGCGCACGGGUGCGUAACGCGUGGUAACCUGCCCUUAGGUUCGGAAUAACUCCCCGAAAGGGGUGCUAAUACCGGAUAAUGUCUUCGGACCAAAGAUUUAUCGCCUUUGGAUGGGCCCGCGUUGGAUUAGCUAGUUGGUAGGGUAAAAGCCUACCAAGGAGACGAUCCAUAGCUGGUCUGAGAGGAUGAUCAGCCACGCUGGGAAUGAGACACGGCCCAGACUCCUACGGGAGGGAGCAGUGGGGAAUAUUGGACAAUGGGCGAAAGCCUGAUCCAGCAGUGCCGCGUGAGUGAUGAAGGCCUUAGGGUUGUAAAGCUCUUUUACCCGGGAUGAUAAUGACAGUACCGGGAGAAUAAGCUCCGGCUAACUCCGUG